ensembl:lncRNA
CUUGAGUUGGAAAACCUGACACAGCUCGUCCUGGAAGUCAGGAUGGAGUUCUGGAUUGGCUCUCAAAUACUGAAGAGUUUAUAGUCACUAGUUUAUGAAUCAAAGCCUGCCUCUCUCUUUCUAAAACUCUUGCUCUCUUUCCCAACAGGAGCUGAUUCCGCCGUUUGAUGCUUUUCUUAACCUGUGAGAUGCUGUUGUGCCCUUCACACUUCUCUUCGUUUUGCCUCCUUCUGUCACGCUUUCCCCUUCACUGAUCUUAGCUGACCCUCAACGGUGUUCCUCCUCUGGCUUAUGACGGGCUGAGGGGGUUUUCUUCAGCCCACGCUCCUCACCGAGACUAUAAGAGCAGUCCGAGUGCACCGCAGGAGACACACAGCUAUGCAACAGACUCCAGGACUCUGGUGGGCUGCAAACCCGGAUGAUCGAUGUAUUGCUGAAACUCCAGGACAGAACCGGACGACCUUCCCGAAAGCCGUCCUGAUGAGCGAGCUGCAAGAUCAUUUUGGUGUUGGCGCCUACAGAUUCCAGUAAAGAAUACCCAUGGAUCUGCAAGAAAUGCCCCAGCUGCUGCAGCUCCAGAGCAGAGUUGGAUCUGCCUUCCCAGUGGGGACAACCUGCAGUGUGGUGUGAGCUCAAUCCUGUCCCCUGUCUCUGGAAGAAGCGGCCUGGGGUUCUUCUCUGCCUAGGGACGUGAAUGUCGCUGCAAGCUGCCUUGUACAGGUACAUUUUGCCGAAACUCACCCAAACGUGCAAUGCAGUCAUAAAGUUUUGAGAACUUUUGAAACCUUGGCAGUUUUAUAUGAGUACACAAAGCUAUCAGUCUGUGCAAAUAGCUGCGGCCAGCUCAGGCCAAUCCAAAUACGGGACAUCACACAUGGAAUUGUAAUCCUUUAGUACCAUCCAGUCAUGGGUUUUCUGACUUCAUGGCAUUACAGUGAACAAUAGGAGAUAGAAUUGUAAGUCAUCUAAAAUCCUCAUGUUCCCACAUAUGCUCACACAAACACAGACACACACACACACAAGUGGCAGUGGCAGCUGGAUCUACAACUCAAUUACUUUUCAAUUAACUUCUAAACAUAGCUUUCAAAAGCAUUGGGUUAUGACACAGCAUUAUUCUUGGUAAUUUGUUAAUUAAAUAACAAAAUGAGCUCUUGCAUGGGUUCUGGCGCUGACUGCCAGCUCCUUUGGUGGGAUAAGCUGGGAAAAGCUUCUCCCAUAUUUCUGACAUCAGAUCAGAUCAGUGGAAUGGUAUGAAGAGAAUUUCAGCCAGAAGAACACACAUAUGAGAUGGUGUAGCGUGGCUCUUAUUACCUCUGUUUCAACACAAUGAAAACAGCCUUUUCUAUUAGAUGAUGCUCUCUCUUUUGUUGUUGUUGCUGUUUUUCUAUGUGAGUUUUUGUUCUGUGUACUCCUCCUCCUCCUUCCAUUAAUCUUCAAAAUUCUUAUUUAAAUAAUUUCAAACUCAGAAUCACAAAAACAUUCAAAUGUAGACUUUCUUAAAUAUGGCGUAAUCAAAUUCUGACUGAGUACUUAAAAAAAUACUUUUUUGCUCAUGUCAGACUUACCUAUGUAAAUUUGUUCUCAGUUUAGGACCACCUACGAGUCAAUUCAACCACCUACUUCAAUUCAAGCUCGCCUAUGAUGACUUGUUCUCAAUUCAGCCUUGCCAACGCAGAUUUGUUCUAAAGUCAGACUCGCCUACAUAGAUUUGUUCUCAAUUGACUGUCGCCUACAUAGAUUUGUUCUCAAUUCAGACUCCACUAUGUAGAUUGGUUAUUAAUUCAGAUUCACUUACAUGGAUUUGUUCUCAGUGUAGACUCACAUGCACAUGCAACAGGUUUGUUCUUUAUUAAUUAACUACAUAAACAGAUU